ensembl:lincRNA 5930412G12Rik RIKEN cDNA 5930412G12 gene
CCUCACCUCCUGCCGGCCUCUCUGCUUGCCCUCCCCGCCCCAGAGGGGGGGUGGGAGGCCUUGAGAUUGUCCCCGGUACCCCAAGGACGCCGAGGUUACGGGAAGUUUGGGGACUCGGGCCCCAGUAUCCUGAGUUCUUCCAGGAGAAGGAAGAUGGCGAAGACAGUGAGGGAAGAGAGCAGACGUCUGACUCCGGGGUGCUUAUCUGUGUGGAAGAGACCGGUUCUUCCUGACUGGCUUCAUGUCCCUCAAGAUCCCAAAGAAGGCUAUGGCUAUUUCAAAGCCAGAGAAUAGGGGCAGAGACUCAGCAGCCUGCUCCUGGGUGCAAAGAGACAAGGCCAGGUGCAGCCUGUGCUCACAGUCUUGGAAG